rnacentral:lncRNA from 1 species
UGCCCACAACAGAGUCACAAUGAUCAAUGGAAAAAUACUCCCUCAUUAAUGCCACAUACCAGCAUUAUCAACCACCUAAAAGAUGAAUGAUUUAGACCCCAAUUAAACACCAUGAAAAGCAUAUGUUACAGAGAAUCAAGCAGAACUCUACAGAGAAUGUGGGAGAAAAAUGAACCAUGACAGAGAGAAAACAGCUGAACCCAGAACCCAAGAUGUAGCCAUGCCAAUCAGUGAGGGAGAAACAGAUCAAGGAGUGGCAAAGCUUGGAUCUGAAUUCAGAUGCGCUCAUUCUCAAGCCGUAUUCUUAACCACUCUACUACUCUUCUCCAAUUGUUUUGGAAAUAUGAAACAAUUGGAGAUCUGAAGCUUCAAAACUCCUACCAACCACCAUCUCCUUCGUGAAGCCUUCCCUGCCCACCCCAGAUAGG